rnacentral:rRNA from 1 species
GCGGAUGCUACCGCUAUACAUGCAGUCGAGCGGACAGAAGGGAGCUUGCUCCCGGAUGUUAGCGGCGGACGGGUGAGUAACACGUGGGUAACCUGCCUGUAAGACUGGGAUAACUCCGGGAAACCGGAGCUAAUACCGGAUAGUUCCUUGAACCGCAUGGUUCAAGGAUGAAAGACGGUUUCGGCUGUCACUUACAGAUGGACCCGCGGCGCAUUAGCUAGUUGGUGGGGUAAUGGCUCACCAAGGCGACGAUGCGUAGCCGACCUGAGAGGGUGAUCGGCCACACUGGGACUGAGACACGGCCCAGACUCCUACGGGAGGCAGCAGUAGGGAAUCUUCCGCAAUGGACGAAAGUCUGACGGAGCAACGCCGCGUGAGUGAUGAAGGUUUUCGGAUCGUAAAGCUCUGUUGUUAGGGAAGAACAAGUGCGAGAGUAACUGCUCGCACCUUGACGGUACCUAACCAGAAAGCCACGGCUAACUACGUGCCAGCAGCCGCGGUAAUACGUAGGUGGCAAGCGUUGUCCGGAAUUAUUGGGCGUAAAGGGCUCGCAGGCGGUUUCUUAAGUCUGAUGUGAAAGCCCCCGGCUCAACCGGGGAGGGUCAUUGGAAACUGGGAAACUUGAGUGCAGAAGAGGAGAGUGGAAUUCCACGUGUAGCGGUGAAAUGCGUAGAGAUUGUGGAGGAACACCAGUGGCGAAGGCGACUCUCUGGUCUGUAACUGACGCUGAGGAGCGAAAGCGUGGGGAGCGAAACAGGAUUAGAUACCCCUGGUAGUCCACGCCGUAAAACGAUGAGUGCUAAGUGGUUUAGGGGGGUUUCCGCCCCCUUAGUGCUGCAGCUAACGCAUUAAGCACUCCGCCCUGGGGGAGUACGGGUCGCAAGGACUGAAAACUCAAAGGGAAUUUGACGGGGGGCCCGCACAAAGCGGGUGGAAGCCAUGUUGGUUUUAAUUUCGAAAGCAAACGCGGAAGAAACCUUUACCCAGGGUCUUUGAACAUCCCUCUGGACAACCCCUAGAAGAAUAGGGGCUUUUCCCCUUUCCGGGG